rnacentral:rRNA from 1 species
UAGGGAAUUUUCGUUCAAUGGGCGCAAGCCUGAACGAGCAAUGCCGCGUGAACGAGGAAGGUCUUCGGAUCGUAAAGUUCUGUUGAAGGGGAAAAAGAGCGGAGAGAGGAAAUGGUCUCCGAUUGAUAUUACCCUUCGAGGAAGUCACGGCUAACUACGUGCC